GAUGAAGAACGCAUCGAAAUGCGAUAAGUAAUGUGAAUUGCAGAAUUCAGUGAAUCAUCGAAUCUUUGAACGCACCUUGCGCCCUUUGGCCAUUCCGAAGGGCAUGCCUGUUUGAGUAUCAUGAACACCUCAACUCUUCAUGGUUUUCCGUGAUGAGCUUGGACUUUGGGGGUCUUGCUGGCCUAUGGUCAGCUCCUCUAAAAUAAAUCAGCUUGCCAGUGUUUGGUGGGUAUCACAGGUGUGAUAACUAUCUACGCUUGUGGUUUUCCACCAGGUAACCUUCAGCAGUGGAGGUUCGCUGGAGCUCACAGAUGUGUCUCUCCUCAGUGAGGACAGCUCUUUGAAUGUUUGAUCUCAAAUCAGGUAGGACUACCCGCUGAACUUAAGCAUAUCAAUAAGCGGAGGA
rnacentral:misc_RNA from 1 species